rnacentral:lncRNA from 1 species
GUUAAAGACCAAAUUGAAUAAUGGUCCAGAAUUAAUGGCUAAAUACAACUCUUUUAGGCACCUACCUGAGAAAUACUGCGUGGCUUGAAAGACUCAUCCUAGAUCUAGGAGUGGGGUUCUGGCAGGUGUGUUGCUUUUGGAUGAUGAAUAUCAAUCAAGUGCUGUGUGAGGUAAGCUGUUACUUGGUGUGCAGUUCUUUCUCCAGGUAGCUUGUUUGCUUUAUUCACAACUCCUAUCAGCCCAGCCUGUAGCCUAUGUUAGAACAGAAACUAAAUAUCACUACUUUAACAUCCGUAUAUUAAAAGCACUUUGUGUUAGCAGUGAUAGACAGCAAUACUUGUUUCAGCUGGUGUUGAAUGCUGCAGGGCAUUCAUGAUUGAAGAUGAACCAACUGUGGUUGAUGUUGGGUGCUCCCUGGAGCCUUGUGCUCCUAGUGGAGAUGUCAGUACUGAUGGCUCAGGCAGUUGCAGCAUCUGAUCAACUGCCCUGUGGUAAAACUGCAGGAGGAAGGAAUGUCAGGAGGUGGUCUUGGAUGUUACUGCUAAAGCUGUGGAGCUUCUCACAAAGGGAUGAUCUGUGUGUUAUCAGAUGUUAUCAGACCUUCCGGAGCGUCUAGGAAAUAGGGUAGAAGAAAAACUUGAGGGUUACUUUUUAACAGGGGGAGCCAAGAGGUACAGCUACACCAGUAAUGAAAAUAAGCAUGUUUCCUUGUAAGAUCAAACUGGGGCAUCUGCUUUCAGCUUUUGUUGCAGUAAAGCUACUGGAGUAGAUGAUGUGUCAACUCAACACAGUGUAUAUUGUUCUUAAAACAGUAUCUGAUAGUCAUACUGAGCUUGCUGUGCCUGUUACCGUAGCCCAAAUCAUACCUGUCUCUUAAAAACAGGAGGCCCAGUAAUGGAUGGUGACAGUUAUGGAGUAAGUAUAUAGUUGACUGAGAAAUACCUUUACUUCUGUGUGCUCUUCAAAUACUGUUUCAAAAACAGUGAAAAAUAAGAGGGAAGCAGAUGCAUUCUGUUUCAGCACGUGUUCAGUUUUUGUCUGGUGCUGUAGACAAAAACCUGGAACCUGGUGCUUAGAAAAACACCUUCUUUCGCAACCCACAGCUGAUGCAUGUAUUGGCUGUGUUACUUAUAUGAAGGGACAGUGCUUAUAUUUAUUCAAGCAGUAAUUAAUUCAAAGGGCACAUUUCCUAUUGCAUGUGCAGAAAUGUAGGAAGGAAACAAUGCAACUGGA